rnacentral:rRNA from 1 species
UACGGAGGAUGCGAGCGUUAUCCGGAUUUAUUGGGUUUAAAGGGUGCGUAGGUGGAGAAUUAAGUCUGUGGUGAAAGCGUGCGGCUCAACCGUACCAAGCCAUGGAAACUGGUUCCCUUGAGUGCAAACGAGGUAGGCGGAAUGUGACGUGUAGCGGUGAAAUGCUUAGAUAUGUCACAGAACCCCGAUUGCGAAGGCAGCUUACCAGCAUGCAACUGACACUGAGGCACGAAAGCGUGGGUAUC